rnacentral:rRNA from 1 species
CACGUAGGGCGCAAGCGUUGUCCGGAAUUAUUGGGCGUAAAGAGCGUGUAGGCGGUCCGGUAAGUCAGCUGUGAAAGUCAAGGGCUCAACCCUUGAAUGCCGGUUGAUACUGUCGGGCUAGAGUCCGGAAGAGGCGAGUGGAAUUCCCGGUGUAGCGGUGAAAUGCGCAGAUAUCAGGAGGAACACCGGUGGCGAAGGCGGGUCUCUGGGCAGUAACUGACGCUGAGGAGCGAAAGCGUGGGGAGCGAACAGG